AGCGAACGCUGGCGGCAGGCCUAACACAUGCAAGUCGAACGAACUCUUCGGAGUUAGUGGCGGACGGGUGAGUAACACGUGGGAACGUGCCUUUAGGUUCGGAAUAACUCAGGGAAACUUGUGCUAAUACCGAAUGUGCCCUUCGGGGGAAAGAUUUAUCGCCUUUAGAGCGGCCCGCGUCUGAUUAGCUUGUUGGUGAGGUAAAGGCUCACCAAGGCGACGAUCAGUAGCUGGUCUGAGAGGAUGAUCAGCCACAUUGGGACUGAGACACGGCCCAAACUCCUACGGGAGGCAGCAGUGGGGAAUCUUGCGCAAUGGGCGAAAGCCUGACGCAGCCAUGCCGCGUGAAUGAUGAAGGUCUUAGGAUUGUAAAAUUCUUUCACCGGGGACGAUAAUGACGGUACCCGGAGAAGAAGCCCCGGCUAACUUCGUG
rnacentral:rRNA from 1 species